rnacentral:rRNA from 1 species
UACGGAGGGGGCUAGCGUUGCUCGGAAUCACUGGGCGUAAAGCGCACGUAGGCGGAUUGCUAAGUCAGGGGUGAAAUCCUGGAGCUCAACUCCAGAACUGCCUUUGAUACUGGCGAUCUUGAGUCCGGGAGAGGUGAGUGGAACUGCGAGUGUAGAGGUGAAAUUCGUAGAUAUUCGCAAGAACACCAGUGGCGAAGGCGGCUCACUGGCCCGGUACUGACGCUGAGGUGCGAAAGCGUGGGGAGCAAACAGG